rnacentral:rRNA from 1 species
CAGAGGGGGCAAGCGUUGUUCGGAAUUACUGGGCGUAAAGGGCGCGUAGGCGGCCUCUUAAGUCGAACGUGAAAUCCCCGGGCUCAACCCGGGAACUGCGUCCGAUACUGGGAGGCUUGAAUCCGGGAGAGGGAUGUGGAAUUCCAGGUGUAGCGGUGAAAUGCGUAGAUAUCUGGAGGAACACCGGUGGCGAAGGCGGCAUCCUGGACCGGCAUUGACGCUGAGGCGCGAAAGCUAGGGGAGCAAACGGGAUUAGAUACCCCGGUAGUCCUAGCCCUAAACGAUGAAUGCUUGGUGUGGCGGGUAUCGAUCCCUGCCGUGCCGAAGCUAACGCAUUAAGCAUUCCGCCUGGGGAGUACGGUCGCAAGGCUG